rnacentral:lncRNA from 1 species
GUCCCUUCCUGUCCCUGCUUCUCCUGCCUGUCCCUGUCCUGCCCAGCAUUUCCAGAGCCUGUCUGAUCCUUCCCUGUCACUCUUGUCCCUUCCCUGUCCUGUCUGUCCCUGCCUGUCCCUGCCUGUCCCCCUUCAUCCUUCCCACCCCAGCACCUCCAGAUUCUGCCUGGUCCUUCCCUGCCCUUCCCUGUCCCUUCCCUGUCCUGCCUGUCCCUGUCCGUCCCAUUUGUCCCCUCUGUCCCUCCUGUCCCACCUGUCCCUGCCUGUCCCACUCUGUUCUCUCUGUCCUGCUUGUCCUGUCUGUCCCUCCCUGUCCUCUGUCUGUCCUGUCUGUCCCUCUCCCUCUCCCUUCCCAUGCCUCUCCAUCCUUCCCUGUCCCUCCUGUCCCUCCUGUUCCACCUGUCCCCUCUGUCCCUCUGUCCUUCUCUGUCCUGCCUGUCCCUCCCUGUCUUUCCCCGUCCCCUCUGUCCCUCUCCAUCCCUCCCUGUCCCCUCUGUCCCUCCUGUCCCUCCCUAUUCCCUGUCUGUCCUGUCUGUCCCACUCUGUUCUCUCUGUCCUGCUUGUCCUGUCUGUCCCUCCCUGUCCCCUGUCUGUCCCUCUCCCUUCCCAUGCCUCUCCAUCCUUCCCUGUCCCUCCCUGUCCCUCCUGUCCCUCUGUCCCUCUUUGUCCCUCUGUCCCUGUCUGUCCCCUGUCUGUCCCUCCUGUCCCUCCCUGUCCCCUGUCUGUCCUGUCUGUCCCUCUCCCUUCCCAUGCCUCUCCAUCCUUCCCUGUCCCUCCCUGUCCCUCCUGUCCCUCUCUGUCCCUCUGUCCCUGUCUGUCCCUUGUCUAUCCCUCUGUCCCUCCCUGUCCCCCCGGUCCCCCCGUUCCCCUCACCACGUUCUCGGGGCUGGGUCUCUCGGGGCUGAUCUGGAUCCACUCGAUGCCCACGCCCUGGGGUCCGUUGUCCUCGGGCUCCAGGACAUACGGACAGCCCAGCUUGACCGAGUCGCCCUUGGCCAGGUACAGAACCUCGCGGCCCUUGCCGUUGAUCCUGACGGCCACCAGGAGAGCUGGGGACACAAUGGCAUUGUCACAGCCUGGCAUGGCAUCGUCAUCCCCUCAAAAUGGCAUCAUCACCCCCAAAAAUGGCAUCGUCACCCCCAAAAAUGGCAUCGUCACCCCCCAAAAAUGGCACUGUCACUUCCCAAAACAGUACUGUCACAUCCAGAAAUGGCAUUGUCACCCUCCAAAACAACACUGUCACCCCUCAAAAUGGCAUUGUCACACCCUGGCAUGGCACCGUCACACCCCAGAAUGGCACUGUCACAUCCAGAAAUGGCACUGGCACCCACAAAAACAGCACUGUGACCCCCAGAAAUGGCACUGUCACCCCCCAAAACAGCACUGUCACACCAGAAAUGGCACUGUCACAUCCAGAAAUGGCAUUGUCAC